CAAAUACCCACCAUUUGCUUCGACGUGGAUGGACCUGGAGGGUAUUAUGCUGAGUAAAGCUUUCAGACUAUUGCUUCUGGAUGAUGGGGAAUGUGGUAAGACCAGUGGACCUCAUGAUCAUGCACCCCCUUGUCUCCUUUCCUGGAGCUCCAAGAACUAGCAUGGUGACUGGAUGGCAGUUGGGUGGAGUCCAUGUAUGGCUGGUCACCAUAGUAACCAUGGGGCUGAAUCAGCGGUAAAGGGCCUGAGACAGUGGAUUGCAGAAAUGGUAGACAUCUUUCAAAGUGCUCAGAAGGACACCAUAGAAUUGGCUUCUAAAUCUAACAGACUGAUCAUGGACCAUAGAAUGAGCCUGGACUCGUUUAGAAAGAAUGUUUGUAAUUUUCCCAUGGUUUAGCUAUAAAGUGUUCCAGCCAAAUCAUAAUGAAUAUCUGCAAUUGAAAUGAUCAAUACAAAAUAAAACUGACAGCAACUAAAACUACCCAUGGUUUAUUGGUGGAGAUUCACAUGGUACCAUUUAGAUGUGCAACAUUGGAUUCAAGAAAACUGACUUGUUCAAAAUGGUGGCAAAGGAAACUUCCUGUGGCAGAAAUAAUAACUAGUCAUUAUUUGCUAUGGACAAAACUAGAUCAGUCAAUACAAUAUUUGUUUAAAAAGUUAUAUGGAAAAUAAUUCUUAUAAAAAUUAAUUUGUUGAUAGGAAAUAGUUAUGGAAAAAUGGGAAUGGUUUAAUAAUGGUAAUCUGUAAAACUGAGGACUUAAAUAAACUCAGUAGAGUUCAAAACUGAAAAUAUUUGCCCCCUCCCACCCUCUGGAAGGAAGUACAUCAAUGUUGGUAUAAUUCUGAGUAAAAUAUACAUAUUGAUAACAAGGAGAAAGAUGUCUCUAUAGUCAGGGGUAAAACUGUAGGUCAAAAGGUAGGGUAAAAAUAGUUUAAAAAUUCUGUAUUUUUCCUGACAUGUACUCAAUAGAAGUAUAAGUCAGUACU